AGCCCUAUGGUGUAGUGGUCAAGCAUAGUGGACUCUGGAUCCGCUGACGGCAGUUCAAAUCUGCCUAGGGCUA
rnacentral:tRNA from 1 species